UGGGGAAUAUUGCACAAUGGGCGCAAGCCUGAUGCAGCAACGCCGCGUGAGGGACGACGGCCUUCGGGUUGUAAACCUCUUUUAGCAGGGAAGAAGCGAAAGUGACGGUACCUGCAGAAAAAGCGCCGGCUAACUACGUGCCAGCAGCCGCGGUAAUACGUAGGGCGCAAGCGUUAUCCGGAAUUAUUGGGCGUAAAGAGCUCGUAGGCGGUUUGUCGCGUCUGCUGUGAAAUCCGGGGGCUCAACCUCCGGCCUGCAGUGGGUACGGGCAGACUAGAGUGCGGUAGGGGAGAUUGGAAUUCCUGGUGUAGCGGUGGAAUGCGCAGAUAUCAGGAGGAACACCGAUGGCGAAGGCAGAUCUCUGGGCCGUAACUGACGCUGAGGAGCGAAAGGGUGGGGAGCAAACA
rnacentral:rRNA from 1 species